rnacentral:lncRNA from 1 species
CCAUCUCAACUAAACCAUAACCACAUCAUAAAUCCAUAAGCGUAGCAAUCUAUACAAUCACAAAACCAACAUGUAUUACAUGUUUAUAUCAUUACACAAUUUAAACUUUAACAUUCCCAAAAUCCCAACGCAAGAGGUACUUUCCAAAUAUUUACAAGAUACAUCAAUCUAGAUUUGUCGUUGAUACACACAAAAGAACUUAUACAAUAUCAACUUAUUAAUUACGAAAGAUUUGCCCCAAAACCUUCUAGCUUUCCACUACCUCAAC